rnacentral:rRNA from 1 species
UACGGAGGGUGCGAGCGUUGUUCGGAAUCACUGGGCGUAAAGCGCGUGUAGGCGGCUUCUUAAGUCUGGUGUGAAAGCCCGGGGCUUACCCCCGGAAGGGCACUGGAAACUGGGGAGCUGGAGUACCGGAGAGGAGGGUGGAAUCCUGGUGUAGCGGUGAAAUGCGCAGAUAAUCAGGAGGAACACCAAUAGCGAAGGCAGCUCGCUGGGACGGUACUGACACUGAGGCGCGAAAGCGUGGGGAGCGAACAGG